AUCUACUUGAAGAGUCCCAAUCGAGACGAAACGCGUGUCCUUGAU
rnacentral:hammerhead_ribozyme from 1 species